rnacentral:rRNA from 1 species
AUGCCUGCCCAGUGACACCAGUUUAACGGCCGCGGUAUUCUGACCGUGCAAAGGUAGCAUAAUCACUUGUUCUCCAAAUAAGGACUUGUAUGAAUGGCCACACGAGGGUUUUACUGUCUCUUACUUCCAAUCAGUGAAAUUGACCUUCCCGUGAAGAGGCGGGAAUAAAAAAAUAAGACGAGAAGACCCUAUGGAGCUUUAAUUAACUAUUCCAAAAGUUAAACAAUUCAACCACAAAGGGAUAAAACAUAACUUAACAUGGACUAGCAAUUUCGGUUGGGGUGACCUCGGAGUACAAAAAACCCUCCGAGUGAUUUUAAUCUAGACAAACCAGUCAAAAUAACCAUAACAUCACUUAUUGAUCCAAAAUUUUGAUCAACGGAACAAGUUACCCUAGGGAUAACAGCGCAAUCCUAUUCUAGAGUUCCUAUCGACAAUAGGGUUUACGACCUCGAUGUUGGAUCAGGACACCCAAAUGGUGCAACCGCUAUUAAAGGUUCGUUUGUUCAACGAUUAAAGUCCUACAUGAUCUG